rnacentral:rRNA from 1 species
UAACGUAGCGAAAGUUACGCUAAUACCGCAUACGAUCUACGGAUGAAAGCGGGGGACUCGCAAGAGCCUCGCGCGAUUGGAGCGGCCGAUAUCAGAUUAGGUAGUUGGUGAGGUAAAGGCUCACCAAGCCGACGAUCUGUAGCUGGUCUGAGAGGACGACCAGCCACACUGGGACUGAGACACGGCCCAGACUCCUACGGGAGGCAGCAGUGGGGAAUUUUGGACAAUGGGCGCAAGCCUGAUCCAGCAAUGCCGCGUGCAGGAUGAAGGCCUUCGGGUUGUAAACUGCUUUUGUACGGAACGAAACGGUGAGCUCUAAUACAGUUUGCUAAUGACGGUACCGUAAGAAUAAGCACCGGCUAACUACGUG